rnacentral:miRNA from 1 species
CAAGAAUCCUCGGCCUCGCCGACCAUGACACUGAAGCGUGUACGGAUGGAAAGUUGAAGCCUUCCGUUCCGCUAGUGUGCCAUGCAACGGCGAGUGCUUUGGCACACUUUGGCUUUUG